rnacentral:rRNA from 1 species
UACGGAGGGUGCAAGCGUUAUCCGGAUUCACUGGGUUUAAAGGGAGCGUAGGUGGGAUGGUAAGUCAGUGGUGAAAUCUCCGGGCUUAACUCGGAAACUGCCGUUGAUACUAUCAUUCUUGAAUAUUGUGGAGGUAAGCGGAAUAUGUCAUGUAGCGGUGAAAUGCUUAGAUAUGACAUAGAACACCGAUAGCGAAGGCAGCUUGCUACACAAUUAUUGACACUGAGGCUCGAAAAGCGUGGGGAUCAAACAGG